GAUGAAGAACGCAGCGAAAUGCGAUAAGUAAUGUGAAUUGCAGAAUUCAGUGAAUCAUCGAAUCUUUGAACGCACAUUGCGCCCGCCAGUAUUCUGGCGGGCAUGCCUGUUCGAGCGUCAUUUCAACCAUCAAGCCCCGCUUGCGUUGGGGUCCUGCGGCUGCCCGCAGGCCCUGAAAACCAGUGGCGGGCUCGCUAGUCACACCGAGCGCAGUAAUACAUCUCGCUUUGGGCGUGCGGCGGGUUCUUGCCGUUAAACACCCCCUUUUUACCAAGGUUGACCUCGGAUCAGGUAGGAAUACCCGCUGAACUUAAGCAUAUCAAUAAGCGGAGGA
rnacentral:misc_RNA from 1 species